UACCUAUACGUCGGACACAACACAUAACAAGUAGCGUAUAUGACUCAACUCCUAUUUCCUCAAGCCAAAUUUAGACCGAACACUUACCUCGAAUGCUCCAAAGUCAACUCAAGCCUCUAGUAUAGCUUUACCUCUCGAAUUCACCACAAAACCGCUUGAAUCUUGUCACAAAUUACAUGAAAGUAUCAACAAAUAAUAAUUGAAUCAAUUUGAAU
rnacentral:lncRNA from 1 species